UGGGUGUCUUCAGAGGGAAAAGCUAUUUUUCGCCGGCGUCAUAAAAGGGUGACCCUGCGCCGGUGCGCUCGCGGCAUUAUCGCGCCAGUUGUGAUCGCGCCAUCACACGGUCCUGGUUGUGGUACGCCUUGCCCUCAAGACUAUCAUGGAGUAUGAGGUGCGGGAAGGUAGGCGACGGGGCAGCCGCGUCUACGCAUGUGCUGACGGCCACAUCUACGUUUCGAAAACCAAGAUUGGACUCAGCACAUAUCUCCAGUGCCAUCAGCGUGAGAACACUGCAGUGAGAUGCUUGGGGACGGCCGUUUUGAACGGUGGGCGCAUCCGCCUAAACCGGCCGCAUACUCAUGCUCCACUUCACCUGGAUAACGAGAUGUUGAGCGUGACGUCGGCAAUUAGGACUGCUGUCCAAAAUGAUGUAGAGGGGAGGACAAACCGCCAAAUUUUCAAUCACCUGGCGCAAGGCGAGGCGGGAGCCGCGCUCAGUUACCAAGGAAUGCGGCAGAUUAUGCUACGACAGAGGCGGGUCAAUCAGCCCGCCGUGCCGGAGACCGCCGUCGCAGCAGUCGCCGCGAUCGACGCAGCCGGGCCGGGACUGUCAGCACACCGCUGCUUCAGUUCUGUCGUCAAUGGGGACGAGGUAAAUGCGAAUGGAGGGCAGAUGCCAGCAUCCGUUUAUGACAUGCAUAACUCACUACCAUCAAGUGCGGCUGUGGUACAUCACUUCUCGUCCUGAAUGUGCAAUUUCGG